rnacentral:lncRNA from 1 species
UCUGAGUAUAAAUCCUUCGCAACAUCAAUCACAACGCGCUUCGACCAUUCUAUGACCUUCACCCAAUUCCAACAACUUCUGAUGGAUCAGGAGCUGCAGGAUGAACAUACAAACAAACGAUAGUUUCGAGGCAAACGCGAUCACCAGAACAAAGAAGAACGAAGAAAGGAGCACCAAUAUCAAAUCGUUACCGUGUCAAAUCUGCUCUCGCAAAGGACACGGUACGUUGAACUACUAUAACAGAUUCAAUUUCACAAGGUUCCCUCUGACGCAUAAUAGAAAGCUAAUUCCGGUCGGAAUUAAUUCCAGCCCACCGUCGGCGAAUGUUGUUUCAAUGUGGUACCCAGAUUCUGGGGUAACCACGCAUAUCACGACAAAUGGUAAGAUACUUAACUCUUCGGAAAAAUACAGGGGGGCGGAGAGAGUUAUGGCCGCAAAUAGGAAUCUCCGACUCAAGUAAAUGCACGUUGGUAUGCAAAGGGAAAGAGUUUCAGUUGGAGGACAUGUUAGUAGUCCCAGAAACGUCUAAGAACUUACUAUUUAUUCAUCAAUUGUGUACUGAUAAUCUUGUCUCUGUUGAAUUUGACAAACAGAGAGUAAGAAUCCGCGACCUCACAAUUAGAGAGGUGUUAGCCGAAGGUAGGCAGGAAGCCGGACUAUAUCAAUUACCGAUGAGAACGACGAGUCAUGUAGAAGCUCUAUCGAGCGAGAGGGUGUCGGCUGAACGAUGGCAUGCGAGGCUUGGGCAUCUCAACAAACAAACAAUGGAAAAAUUAGUUGAUAAAAAUAGAUUCUCAUCGGACUGUAAAAUAAUAUCAGAUUGCGACUCUUGCUUAAAAAAUUAAAUAAAUCAAGCUCAUUGCCUCACAGAACAAGCAAUAAAAUAUAUGACUCUCCGCUAGAUUUAAUUUAUACGGACAUCUGGGAAACAAGGUGGAGGUGGGACAAACGUUUUCAGCUCUGGGCAGAACGGUAGUGUGGGACGCAGAUCAAAGAAGUCCAAUCCGAUAACGCAAUGGAGUUUAAAAAACUCGCAAGAAAUCUGGAAAAAAUCUGAUGUUGGUUACCGAUUCUUAGCCCCCUACAACCACCAGCAAAUGGGGUCCGUCGAGAGGCGACACAUGCAUUUGGUAGAUACAGCUCUUACAAUGCUGCAACAUGCCGGAAUUCCAGUCGGUUAUUGGGACUAUGCAGUAUUAACAACGACACAUUUAUACAACCGGAACCCAUCGAGAAUCUUGAAUAACACAUCACCAUAUGAAGCUCGAUCUGUUCCAGCAAGCUCCGGAUUACAGAAAACUCCGGGUAUUUGGACCGCGAUGCUAUCCUUGUCUUCGCAGUUACCAACCGAACAAGCUUUCACAAAAAUCAGUCCCGUGCGUGUUCUUGGGAUACCUACAAAAUCAAGAUGCUUAUUUGUGCUAUGAUCUGGUCGGCCGGAAAAUGUACAGUUUAAGGGACGUUCGUUUCAACGAGGAGGACUUUACAUUGAAUAAAUACUUAGCUGAGGAGCAAGAAGCAAAUAUCACUCAAUCGCCAGCUGAGAGACGUGCGAUUUACUGUCCUAUCAUUCGAGAGAAAUUAAAAGAGGUAUCGGGUCACAGCAACAUCGGACCCUCCCAAUUGAUAAACAAAGAGGUAUCAGGUUCAGUCUGCCCGAACCAAUCAAACAAAGAGGUAUUGAAUUCAGCCUACCCGAUUCAAUCAAACCCUGACAUUGAAACUCAAUCGUAUUCGCCCAACUCAACUGAAGAAGAGGAAUCGGGUCAAACAAUCUCAGAUCCGGUAACAAUUUCCGAAAAUCCGAUAUCAACUUGUCGGAGAAGAACCCUAGCAACGAACAAGAAACACUCACCAGAAAUCGAUCAGCUACAAAAGCGUCAAAGGGAAUAAUAAAACCGAACACACGACACGUGUUGUCAGCAUCAACCAAUGGGAAAUUC